GAUGCGGGGCAUUUCCUGGGGAUUAAUGGCUGUCUGGGGUCAUCAUCUCCUCCCGGUUAGUUAUUCGUCCCCAGGAAAUACCGUGCGCCUUGAUC
rnacentral:miRNA from 1 species